GCUCAGAUUGAACGCUGGCGGAACGCUUUACACAUGCAAGUCGAACGGUAACGCGGAGAGAAGCUUGCUUCUCUCCGGCGACGAGUGGCGAACGGGUGAGUAAUACAUCGGAACGUGUCCGCUCGUGGGGGACAACCAGCCGAAAGGUUGGCUAAUACCGCAUGAGUUCUACGGAAGAAAGAGGGGGACCCGCAAGGGCCUCUCGCGAGCGGAGCGGCCGAUGACUGAUUAGCCGGUUGGUGAGGUAACGGCUCACCAAAGCAACGAUCAGUAGCUGGUCUGAGAGGACGACCAGCCACACUGGGACUGAGACACGGCCCAGACUCCUACGGGAGGCAGCAGUA
rnacentral:rRNA from 1 species